UAAACGAAAGCAAAUUAAUUGCACCUAACUGUUAAUUAGGAGUAAGUUUUUAUAAACUCGUUUAU
rnacentral:tRNA from 1 species